GUGGGGAAUCUUGCGCAAUGGGCGAAAGCCUGACGCAGCCAUGCCGCGUGGAUGAUGAAGGUCUUAGGAUUGUAAAAUCCUUUCACCGGUGAAGAUAAUGACUGUAGCCGGAGAAGAAGCCCCGGCUAACUUCGUGCCAGCAGCCGCGGUAAUACGAAGGGGGCUAGCGUUGCUCGGAAUUACUGGGCGUAAAGGGAGCGUAGGCGGACAUUUAAGUCAGGGGUGAAAUCCCGAGGCUCAACCUCGGAACUGCCUUUGAUACUGGGUGUCUUGAGUGUGAGAGAGGGGAGGGGAACUCCGAGUGUAGAGGUGAAAGUCGUAGAUAUUCGGAAGAACACCAGUGGCGAAGGCGACUCACUGGCUCAUUACUGACGCUGAGGCUCGAAAGCGUGGGGAGCAAACAGGAUUAGAUACCCUAGUAGUCC
rnacentral:rRNA from 1 species